rnacentral:rRNA from 1 species
AUACGUAGGUGACAAGCGUUAUCCGGAUUUACUGGGCGUAAAGGGCGUGUAGGCGGUCUUGCAAGUCAGAAGUGAAAUUCCUGAGCUCAACUCGGGCGCUGCUUCUGAAACUGCAGGACUUGAGUGCUGGAGGGGAUAGCGGAAUUCCUAGUGGAGCGGUAAAAUGCGCAGAUAUUGGGAAGAACACCGGCGGCGAAGGCGGCAUCUUGGACGGGUAUGGACGCUGAGGAGAGAAAGCCUGGGGAGAAAACGGGAUUAGAUACCCGGGUAGUCCUCGCCGUAAACGAUGAAAACUAGGUGUAGGUGGGAUAAACUCCAUCAGUGCCGCAGUAAACACAAUAAGUUGACCGCCUGGGGAGUACGGCCGCAAGGUUAAAACUCAAAUGAAUUGACGG